rnacentral:rRNA from 1 species
GAUGAACGCUGGCGGCGUGCUUAACACAUGCAAGUCGAACGAGAAGUGAAGACGGAAACCUUCGGGCGGAAGGCUUUAUUUCGAGUGGCGGACGGGUGAGUAACGCGUGGGUAACCUGCCUCAUACAGGGGGAUAACAGUUGGAAACGACUGUUAAUACCGCAUAAGACCACAGCACCGCAUGGUGCGGGGGUAAAAACUCCGGUGGUAUGAGAUGGACCCGCGUUCGAUUAGCCAGUUGGCGGGGUAACGGCCCACCAAAGCGACGAUCGAUAGCCGAUCUGAGAGGAUGACCGGCCACAUUGGGACGGAGACACGGCCCAGACUCCUACGGGAUGGAGCAGUGGGGAAUAUUGCAAAAUGGGGGAAACCCUGAUGCAGCGACGCCGCGUGAGUGAAGAAGUAUUGCGGUAUGUAAAGCUCUAUCAGCAGGGAAGAAAAUGACGGUACCUGAGGAAGAAGCCCCGGCUAACUACGUG